rnacentral:rRNA from 1 species
UCCCCUAGAUGUUCUGGGCCGCACGCGCGCUACACUGAACAGUUCAACAAGUCUUAACCUUGGCCGAUAGGUCUGGGUAAUCUUUGAACGCUGUUCGUGAUUGGGAUAGACCUUUGCAAUUAUGGGUCUUCAACGAGGAAUUCCUAGUAAACGCAAGUCAUCAGCUUGCAUUGAUUACGUCCCUGCCCUUUGUACACACCGCCCGUCGCACCUACCGAUUGAAUGGUCCGGUGAAAUCUCGGGACGGCGGCUUGGUCGCUUGCGUCCGACUGCUGAAACUUGAUUAAACCAUAUCAUUUAGAGGAAGGUGAAGUCGUAACA